rnacentral:lncRNA from 1 species
UGAGCGCGCGCCUAUCAGCCAGUUGAUCCUCCAUGUCAUUUAAAGAAUCAGGAUCAGACGCGCCAGAUUUUUUCUAAUUUCUGAUUAUUUCAUUUUAUUUUCUUUAAUUUCGUUUUAUUUUAAAAAUUUAUAUCUCCUUCAUAUUUAAUCCAAAAAAUAUGGGACUAAUUGCAUUACUUCCCUUUUUAAUUCUAGUUUCUGAAAAUGAUAUUUAAUUAUUUUGUAUGAGUUUAUUUAAUAUUUUUUGUGAAUUUUCUUUUUUCUGGUUAUUUUU